rnacentral:rRNA from 1 species
GCAUAACGCGAAGAACCUUACCUAGACUUGACAUCUCCUGAAUUACUCGUAACGGAGGAAGCCCUUCGGGGCAGGAAGACAGGUGGUGCAUGGUUGUCGUCAGCUCGUGUCGUGAGAUGUUGGGUUAAGUCCCGCAACGAGCGCAACCCUUAUUGUUAGUUGCUACCAUUAAGUUGAGCACUCUAACGAGACUGCCGCGGUUAACGUGGAGGAAGGUGGGGAUGACGUCAAAUCAUCAUGCCCCUUAUGUCUAGGGCUACACACGUGCUACAAUGGUCGGUACAAUAAGAUGCAAUCCCGUGAGGGGGAGCUAAACUCAAAAGCCGGUCCCAGUUCGGAUUGUAGGCUGAAACUCGCCUACAUGAAGUUGGAGUUGCUAGUAAUCGCGAAUCAGCAUGUCGCGGUGAAUACGUUCCCGGGUCUUGUACACACCG